UACGUAGGGGGCAAGCGUUGUCCGGAAUUAUUGGGCGUAAAGAGCGUGUAGGCGGUCCGGUAAGUCCGCUGUGAAAGUCCAGGGCUCAACCCUGGAAUGCCGGUGGAUACUGCCGGGCUAGGGUCCGGAGGAGGCGAGUGGAAUUCCUGGUGUAGCGGUGAAAUGCGCAGAUAUCAGGAGGAACACCGAUGGCGAAGGCAGCUCGCUGGGACGGUACUGACGCUGAGACGCGAAAGCGUGGGGAGCAAACAGG
rnacentral:rRNA from 1 species